ACGAACAGGCAUAUGACUUUGUACAGUUGACCUCUUCAUGCACUUGUAAGGUGUCUACCACUGAUUCUUAAUCUCAAGCUAAAGCAAAACAUCAAUCAUUGUACUUUUUCAAUCACAGGUGUUCCUAUAAUGUACAUGUCACGGCUGUCGUCUUCCUCUUCCUCGGACGAGGAGAGGAGAGAAGGAUCGGUGGACCAAUACGCAGCGAGGCAAUCAUAUCUACCUCAGGGGGAAGGAUGGCCAGCCACACAGGACGGUGAUUUUUACUAAGGAGGAGAAGGAGGCCGUGCUGACAGAGAUGCAUGCUGGACAUUUCGGAGUGAAGUGCAUGAAUGCCAAAAUCAACCUACGCUUCUUCUGACAGGGAAUUGUCAAGGAGGGGGACAGCUGGGCAAGUGAAAUAACCUUUUGUUUAUCAAUCACAUUCUAUUAUAUCUGAAAUUAUUAUGAUUUCAAUUAAUGUCACAUCAGAGAGCACACAAUGUUAAAGUUGUCACUUUUUGAGAAAUUGGUCAGUACCCUGUCUAGCCUGCCAGAAGUUUGAGAGGGCAAAGACUGUGGCACCGGAGUUGAAACCCAUCAAAGUUGUUUCACCACGGCACAUGAUCGGGGUGGACCUCAUCGGACCCUUCACGAAAUCCAGGAAUGUCAACAGCUGGUGUCUGACGGCGACCGAUCACUUUACCAAGUGGGUGGAGGCAAUACCCAUUAUGGACGAGACUAGCGAAGCCACCUCCAAGGCGAUGGUGGAGUAUCUUCAACAACCGCGGUUCUCCUGAGGUCAUCUUGAGUGACCGAGGUCAUGAACAUUGGAACAAGGUUUGGUGAAUGGACCAACCAGACCCUCAAGACUGCCAUGGGCAAAUCCUUUGAUACCAGGUAGGGUGGUAGAACAACCUGAAGGUAAUUCUCUUUGCGCACAACAGCAGCAUCCAGGUCGAGUACGGACGGAGCCGCAGCUGUUGACUGAGGUAAACAAUGCAGUUGCAUAUACAAUUAUUGCAUAUACUGUAGUCUUUCAAAUGUGCGAUUGACUUAGUGUUGUUUGUCUAUUGCUAUUUUUGUAUAACGUACUUUCAGAUCACUGAAACCCCACCUGAUGUGGUGGAAGUUGACAAACCAGAUCAGAACGCCUUUGUGUACUACCUUCAGGCACGGACUGAGAAGGAUGUGGCAGUUUUUGACCAGGACCUAGGGGUUCUGCCCAACACCCAGACGUGGAUCCACCUGAUGUCCUCCAUUACCUGUUCUCCAGGACCUAGGGGUUCUGCCCAACACCCAGACGUGGAUCCACCUGAUGUCCUCCAUUACCAACCACCCUCCAAGUUCUCAUUACAUCAGCUAUUGUUAUUGUCAUGUUGUCAUUAUCUGCCAAGAAAGUGUCUUGCUCUAUCAUACUGAGCACAUAAUAUGUGAGAUACACAGAUGAACUACUGCAAACACUCAGAACAAAGAGAGCAGCAGUCUCCCUCUUCAAGUUCCCCUUCUGAGAUUGGCUGCCUGUUGAGAACAAGUGACAGGCAGAAUUCCACACACUAGAAUUCAGUAUUUUAGUCUAUAAUAUCCAUGUGAGUGUACAACAAAUCUGUGAAAAUAAAUUAAUGACACAAGUGUACC